rnacentral:rRNA from 1 species
CCUACGGGGGGCUGCAGUGGGGAAUAUUGCGCAAUGGGCGAAAGCCUGACGCAGCGACGCCGCGUGAGGGAUGAAGGUCUUCGGAUCGUAAACCUCUGUCAGCAGGGAAGAACGGUCACUGUGCUAAACAGCAGUGAAUUGACGGUACCUGCAAAGGAAGCACCGGCUAACUCCGUGCCAGCAGCCGCGGUAAUACGGAGGGUGCGAGCGUUAAUCGGAAUUACUGGGCGUAAAGCGCACGUAGGCGGUAUGUCAAGUCAAGGGUGAAAUCCCCGCGCUCAACGUGGGAACUGCCUUUGAAACUGGCAAACUGGAGUGUGUGAGAGGAUAGUAGAAUUCCAGGUGUAGGAGUGAAAUCCGUAGAUAUCUGGAGGAACAUCAGUGGCGAAGGCGACUAUCUGGAACAUAACUGACGCUCAGGAGCGAAAGCGUGGGUAGCAAACAGGAUUAGAUACCCUUGUAGUC